AUCUGCUCCCCACAGCCCGGGCUCUGGGCACCUCCCUCAACCACCUCUGAGGAAGCCAGGGCUCGGCACCCGAGGCAGGUUUCCUGGGGCCCCUCCCAAGCGAACCUCCACCAGCAAGUUGGACAAAGAGCUUUCCCGAACCGUGGUGCCUGAAGCCCGUGCUCUGGGAACGUCCUCUCCCGGAGUGAUUUUGGAGCCAGGCCAGGGGGGUGAGGGAGGCAGAAAGGUGCCCGGGGCUGGAGAGAGCCCCGGUUGGUGACAGAUUCGGGUGAUGACAGCCUCCCCAAGCAAGGGCGCUUCUGAACUCCGGGGUGGGGGGGCGGGGGGGGAUGCUUCCCUCAUCCUUUUGGACAACUACUUGGAGCCAUAAGUAACCUCAGCAAAAUCGAGGCCUCAGCAAGCCACUUCUCUGUGACAAGCAUCCACCCAGGCCGUAGACACGUUUCUGCUGCCACUCCACAAGACGGACAGGGCGCCAGCGGGCAGGCGGGAAGGCCCCAGUACAGGCAAUCACCCCAUCUCCUUGGUUCGAAGCUUUACCCGUGUAUCAUGUUCCCUGUAGCCAUUUUAUUUUUGAAGACACUUCUAAUCCUUCCUCCCUAAUGAAAGCCCUAACCACCACCCCCCCACACACACCCCCACCCCAGAGAGCUACACGUCUGCUCCCUCGACCUGACCAUCUAGACAGGAUGACGUCAGCAGCAGCGACUCAAGGGACGUGUGUACAUAUGUAAAUGAGAAAUAGAGACACGUUAACAGAUGCAUUCAUUUCCCUUGGAAUGUGUAUUGUUUUUAUUUUACGGAACAAAACGAAACAAACAAACAAAAAAAAAAAGGCUUGAAACUCCAUCUUAACGUGAAAAAAACUAGAUCCUGUUAGCGUUUGUGAGGUCUCUCUCCACCUUUGUCUUAUGUAAUAUACUCUGCCCCUGUGUGGAAAGGCAUUUUUGUUCUGUUUUGUUUUUUAUUUUACCUCCAUGUACUAUUUAGCUUCCGGUGUACUGGUCCUGCCACCUGUGUAUUUUUAGGGUGCUAUGGAAAUAAUGAAAAGAAAUGGGGAUUUCAGACGAAAAUUGUAACCAAAUUCAUACUUUGUAUAAUUUUUGAUAUCAUGAUUGCAGGUGAUUCACAUGUCCACACAUAAACACACCCACAGCGCAGCCUGAAGUAACCCCCACAGAAAUUGUCAUUGUCUUUGUACAUCUCUGUACAAUGCAACCAUUUCAAACUUUAAACUGGUCAGAAACCUAAUUGUGAUUUCUAGUCUUGCAAAGCUGUAUGUAGUUAGAUGAUGUGACAACCUCUAAUAUUUAUCUAAUAAAUAUGUAUUCAGAUGAAACCUGUAUAUUAGGUGUUCAUGUGGUUAUUUUGUAUUUAAAGAUCAAAUUAUUUGACUAUUGCUAGACAUUUCUAUACUCUGUUGUAACACUGAGGUAUCUCAUUUGCCCAUGUUAAUUGUUUUCUAAAUAAAUUGACAAAAAACGAAGGUUUGGCGAAUUAGCUAUUUUGUGAACUUUAAGGAGCGGUUUGGGGGUUUGUUUUCUGCUUCUAAACCACCACCCCUGCCUGAUCACCUGGCAAAACCAAAACAAAACAGAAACAGUAAGCAAGCAAGCAAGCAGGCAGGUGGUUUGGUGUUGAUCUGGAGGAGCCCCUACCUCGGGUGUCCCUGGAGGAGACACUGGCGUGGCCAGGUUUCUCCAGAGAGACGUCCCUCAAUGAAUCACAAGAAUCUGAAGGCCUGUCUCGGGCUCUGCUCCUAGGCAACCAGACCUAAGGCAGCGGGGGCUGGGAGCGGGCCUGCGAGCCAGCCUCUGAGGACAGGAUGCUAGGGAUAGUCACUGACCGGAUGGCAACGGUGCCCCAUCCCUGGGGAUAACACGGGCAUGGGACAGCCAUGAUUCGCUAUGACUUCCACCUGCAGAAAACGGGUAAGGGGGCUGCAACAUCUGGGGCAAUCUGGCAUUUGGGAGUUAAGAGGAAAGAGUAAGUAUUAAGCCUAUGGAAUGGAGCGGCCAUUGCUAAGUGCCAUCGACUCAAGAAAGGAAAUUGCAUUCUCAGAUGUCUUGGUCAUUUAAAACAAAGUGUGAGAGUCCGAGGAAAACACUGAAGGAAGGAAGCAUCGAAGCACGUAUCUCCUGCAGCUGGAGUGCAAAUCAGGCUUGCACAAUCUGGGCUCAGGACCAGAGUGUCGUGGAGACAGAGAUCAAGUUACACGUGAGCCCACCAGCUUGGGUUUCCUCUCUCGAAGGCUGAUCCAGCUGCUGCCCUGGCUGAAUUCCAACAUGUCAUCAACAGAGACCGUGCCGACCCUCUGAGACGUGAACACCCCGUGAGGAGACCAGCUAGCCCCUCGGUGGCAGGUUUGUCACCUAGGACCUCUUCCACCCGAGAAAGGGCAGUGGUCCACUCUGUCCAGGAUCGAUGCCUCGUCUGAGAAUGGGUCUGCCUCUCCUUCUUAUGGAGCCUUAGGUCACCACCACUGUCUGAAAGCUCACGGACACGGGCUCCCAUACAACAUCACUACAGACAGAGAGAGCCUACUUACAGAAAGGCGGUGUGCCCGUGGAUACAUUCUGAUAGGUUCCACUGGCCCUACCACAGGGUGCACCAUGCCACUCUCAUGGAUGGUAGAAUGGCCUCUUCAAGAUGCAGCUGAGGUACCAAAGGGGUGGCAUCCUGGGAGAAUGGGCUGCUACUCUCCAGGUCACACUGCACAUGGCAAAGCAAUGACCACCCCGUGUCUGCCAAUAGGCAGACAGAUUAAACUCAAUAUGAGAAGCAAAUGGAUCUGAGCGGGGCAAGGGGAGGACUGUACGAACACCAAUGCUCCAGCCAGAUCCCCUCUGCUGGGCCCAGGCACCCCUCCCCCAGCUGCGGGAGUAUUGACCCUUUCUCUAGAGCAUGGCCCUGAGGAGGCAGGAGCUGCGUCAUCUGGGAAGUUGCACCCUCUUGGGGGCAGCCGGCAGCCCACAAUGACCAACGCAGAGUAUGAAAUGAAUGCCAGCUCCCUUCCUUCAGGAGAGACUACUCUGUGAUGCGCUCAUGCUCUGAAGCCCUCGCUCUGGGAUCAAGCCAAGAGGGUCCUCUCCCUGCCCCACCCCCCUCUUACAGGUGGUUUCAGAAGAGCCAGCCCACAAUCCAUCAACUUCACAAGAAUCCGGGUCUCAGGCUCUGCUUCCGGAGAGCCCCAUUCAAGGCAACAGCUCUUUGUUCUCGCGUUCUCUAAAUAUUGGUCUUGCCCCCUUGUCUUAGUUGUCUUAGUCUGCAAUUUCUCUGUGUGCAUCUCAACCUCUCCUAUGACCUUAAUAACCAAGCUUUUUUGCAGUUCGUGCAUGCUUUUAUUAAUUUUUAAUAGUUCAUUUUUCCAACAACGUUGAAGUAGUCGAAAAAUACUGAAAACCUGACAAAUAGGUAUCAUAAAACUUACAUUAUUUUAAACUUAAAUAUUUCAUUUAUACCCUAAGCAGAAUCUAUUAUCAUUUUACUUUCCUGUCUUCAAUGGAAGCAAACGCAUCAAUAAUAUCUUAAAAAUAUACUUGUUACCUAUCUGCUUUUCAACUGAGAUUUGCCGUAUUUUAUCAUUUCUCAUAAUCUAGUGACAAGUUUAAAUAAUUUCAAAGUGAUAGCAGGUUACUAAAACCUCAUUCGCAGGACCCCACUGUGUCUACUAUUAUUAAAGAGACUAUCAAGAACACUUCUAAAUUUGGGUAAGAUUACACUAGACAAAAUUUGUGACUCAGUUUUAGAAGAAAAAACAUGAUGGUGGUUUUUUUUUUUUUUUUUAAUGUAUGAAAACUGACACCUGCAUCCACUGAUUUAUACAUUUCCAAUUUCCUUCUUUUUUAUUUUCUCAUUCAGAUAUGAUAUUCAUGUAUCUUCCUAAGUUUUAAAGCACUAAUGACUUGCCUCCUUAAAUAUCUAUCCAGUCCGACGUCUUAUUUCCAUCCCUAAUGCUGUUACUGUCAUUCAAGACCACUGUCAGUUCCCAUCUGGACAAUUCGCCACUCUCUCCCCUGUCUCUUUGCCCCCAGUGUUGUUCUCUUCAGAUCCAUUGUGAUACCGACUUCUGUCACUCACUCAAAUUUGGUUCCCCUAAGCUUCUGGGCACCUGGAAUGAUUACACAUCCCCAUUCCUUAUAGGCGGGGCCCAUGUGAACAAUUCUGGGAGAUGGGUUAUGAGCCUACAUAGUGUGGGUCACCUCUAGGCCACAGCAUUUAGUUACCAUUGCGAGGAUCCCCAAUACGCCUGUCCCUGCCUUGUGACAAGGAGGCUACGUGUUAUAAAGAGUACGGUUGCAGGAUGGCAGAGCCUCUAUGAGCCUGAGUCCCUGAAUGGUUUCUGGAGCCAAGCAUCCCACUGAUCUAUGGUGGCAGUGUAGCUUGAGUUAAAAAGAAAAAAAAAAUCUUUAUUAAGCUAGUGA